UGUGAUUGGACGUAAAAUGGACGGGGACCGAAACUGGCAAGGAGCAGACCGAGGUGUCCCGGGACCGGGUCACAUAGCACGGGGUGGAAUGGCAAGCCGAGGUGGAUUCAUACAGACAGGGACAUCCCAGUCGAUCUCUGGAGCCUUAAACCGACCGAAUCAGAUAAUGCAAGGCAGCGGAAUACAGGGAGGCGGAGCCUUUGGUCGACGCUAUUAACUUACAUCCUCUUCCCUUGUGUACGUGUUCUGUGUAAAGAGACUUUAAGCCUUGUAUAUUGCCAUUCAAGCUUUGUAAUUGUAUUUUUUUUUUUUUAAGUCCACUUUUCUUUUCAUGGUGUAAAGACUAAUAGAAAAUUGGUUACAUUGUGUAGAGAUUUUAUUUCGACUUUUUUUUUUUUUUUUUUUGUCCAUUCCAUGUCUCUUUAGAUUUUAGUCAUUUCUGUUGUACACUUGGUGAAUGCUCAGGAAUGUUUUGCUAAAAUGAAACCUGUCUUUGACAACAUGAACUUGAUGUCCACUUGUUUUUGAUGUGUUUCAAUAAAUUUAUUGUGGAGUUUUCUUUAAA